GCCCGUGUAGCUCAGUUGGGAUGAGCGCCGCUUUCACACGGCGGAGGCCCCUGGUUCGAUCCCAGGCGCGGGUA
rnacentral:tRNA from 1 species